UACGGGGGGGCAAGCGUUGUUCGGAAUUACUGGGCGUAAAGGGCUCGUAGGCGGCCAACUAAGUCGGAUGUGAAAUCCCCAGGCUUAACCUGGGAACUGCAUCCGAUACUGGAUGGCUUGAAUCCGGGAGAGGGAUGCGGAAUUCCAGGUGUAGCGGUGAAAUGCGUAGAUAUCAGGAAGAACACCCGUGGCGAAAGCGGCUCUCUGGAACGGUACUGACGCUGAGACGCGAAAGCGUGGGGAG
rnacentral:rRNA from 1 species